rnacentral:misc_RNA from 1 species
GAGACCCUGUACAGAACGACCCAC